AACGAACGCUGGCGGCAUGCCUAACACAUGCAAGUCGAACGAGACCUUCGGGUCUAGUGGCGCACGGGUGCGUAACGCGUGGGAAUCUGCCCUUGGGUUCGGAAUAACAGUUGGAAACGACUGCUAAUACCGGGUGAUGACGUAAGUCCAAAGAUUUAUCGCCCAAGGAUGAGCCCGCGUAGGAUUAGCUAGUUGGUGAGGUAAAGGCUCACCAAGGCGACGAUCCUUAGCUGGUCUGAGAGGAUGAUCAGCCACACUGGGACUGAGACACGGCCCAGACUCCUACGGGAGGCAGCAGUGGGGAAUAUUGGACAAUGGGCGAAAGCCUGAUCCAGCAAUGCCGCGUGAGUGAUGAAGGCCUUAGGGUUGUAAAGCUCUUUUACCCGGGAUGAUAAUGACAGUACCGGGAGAAUAAGCUCCGGCUAACUCCGUG
rnacentral:rRNA from 1 species